UAUCCCUACGGGGGGCAGCAGUAGGGAAUAUUGCUCAAUGGGGGAAACCCUGAAGCAGCAACGCCGCGUGGAGGAUGAAGGUUUUCGGAUUGUAAACUCCUUUUGUUAGAGAAGAUAAUGACGGUAUCUAACGAAUAAGCACCGGCUAACUCCGUGCCAGCAGCCGCGGUAAUACGUAGGUGGCAAGCGUUGUCCGGAUUUACUGGGUGUAAAGGGCGUGUAGCCGGGCCGGCAAGUCAGAUGUGAAAUCCCAAGGCUCAACCUUGGAACUGCAUUUGAAACUGUUGGUCUUGAGUAUCGGAGAG
rnacentral:rRNA from 1 species